AUGUGGCGGCAAGGAAUGGAUUCGUUGGGGAAGUCGGGGAAGCGCCGGACAAGGUCCUUGCCGGCGGCCACCGCCCUCGCCUCCACUAUCACCACGUCCUCGUCCUCAUCCUCCACAAACCCCGAAGAAACCACCUCGCCGUCGCCCUACUUCCUACCGGAGCUGAUCCCAUUGAUCGCGAGCCGCUUAACAACCCUCGAGGACGUCUUCGCCCUCCGUGCUUCCUGCCGGGCCUACCGGGCUCGCCUCCCGCAGUCUUCCUCAAACCUCGCCUCGCAGGGUCCGCUACUCCUCAUCCACCACAAGACGUCUGCCGCGCUCUUCCAAGUCCCCCUUCGCCGCAUCCUGCGCUUCCGGCUCCCACGCGCCCCCUAG
rnacentral:rRNA from 1 species